UAAAAACCCCGACUUCGGAAGGGGUGUAUUUAUUAGAUACAAAACCAAUGCCCUUCGGGGCUCUUUGGUGAUUCAUGAUAACUAUACGAAUCGCACGGCCUUGCGCCGGCGAUGGUUCAUUCAAAUUUCUUCCCUAUCAACUUUCGAUGUUUGGGUAUUGGCCCAACAUGGUUGCAACGGGUAACGGAGGGUUAGGGCUCGACCCCGGAGAAGGAGCCUGAGAAACGGCUACUACAUCCAAGGAAGGCAGCAGGCGCGCAAAUUACCCAAUCCCGACUCGGGGAGGUAGUGACAAUAAAUACUGAUACAGGGCCCUUUCGGGCCUUGUAAUUGGAAUGAGUACAAUUUAAAUCCCUUAACGAGGAACAAUUGGAGGGCAAGUCUGGUGCCAGCAGCCGCGGUAAUUCCAGCUCCAAUAGCGUAUAUUAAAGUUGUUGUGGUUAAAAAGCUCGUAGUUGAACCUUGGGCCUGGCUGGCCGGUCCGCCUCACCGCGUGCACUGGUCCGGCCGGGCCUUUCCCUCUGUGGAACCCCAUACCCUUCACUGGGCGUGGCGGGGAAACAGGACAUUUACUUU
rnacentral:rRNA from 1 species